UACGAAGGGGGCUAGCGUUGCUCGGAAUCACUGGGCGUAAAGCGCACGUAGGCGGAUCGUUAAGUCAGGGGUGAAAUCCUGGAGCUCAACUCCAGAACUGCCUUUGAUACUGGAGAUCUUGAGUCCGGAAGAGGUAAGUGGAACUGCGAGUGUAGAGGUGAAAUUCGUAGAUAUUCGGAAGAACACCAGUGGCGAAGGCGACUCGCUGGACAGACAUUGACGCUGAGGUGCGAAAGCGUGGGGAGCAAACAGG
rnacentral:rRNA from 1 species